GACGUAGGGCGUGAGCGUUGUCCGGAUUUAUUGGGCGUAAAGAGCUCGUAGGUGGUUUGUCGCGUUGUUCGUGAAAACUCACAGCUCAACUGUGGGCGUGCGGGCGAUACGGGCAGACUGGAGUACUGCAGGGGAGACUGGAAUUCCUGGUGUAGCGGUGGAAUGCGCAGAUAUCAGGAGGAACACCGGUGGCGAAGGCGGGUCUCUGGGCAGUAACUGACGCUGAGGAGCGAAAGCGUGGGGAGCGAACAGG
rnacentral:rRNA from 1 species